rnacentral:lncRNA from 1 species
UGGGAAGGGAAAUGGUUGCAUGGAGGGUAUUCAGCUCUAUCUCCUUUAGUCUGAAGGCUGGUGCAGCGCUGGGAGAGGCUGCUCUUAUGGGUUGUUGCAAAUAACCUGUGUACUCUCAUGCAUCCAGUGUCUCUUCCCUGCCAACGGGGCUAUAGUUGAUAAAUAGAGGUCUCAAGCAGAGCUUGGAAGCUGCAACUGGACCUCAACAUCUUAUUGCACUGCUCUCACCAUCCGUUCUCAUGCCUGCUGUCAACAACCUGGUUUCACUCAACUCCCAGCUUCCUAUUGAAGCAGUGUAGGGUAGCAGAACAGCAGACUGCUUGCUUCCUGCAAUCCCAAUCUGGGAAAUAACUGUGUUUGCACCCUUUUGCAAGGUGGGACUGAAAAGCAACCAAUUAUUGUGCUGCCAAGCCUUCCCUUCUAUGCUUCACUUUCCCCAACAGUAGGAUGAGAGAUGGAUUUCCAGUUCUGCUUUAGGCCCAUCCCAUGCAGUGUGCUACAGUGAGGCCCAAAUGGCAUUGCCUUCUCUAAUCUCACUGCCUUCUUAGGUGAGAAGAUCUCUCUGGGCAGAGAAAUACAUAUUUUCAGUGCACAAGCUGCACAUUAAAGCUCCUACAAAAUUUCCAAGGUAGGAUGGCGUAUGUGAACUAUUGUAACCACUGAUUCUUCCAUGGUUUGCAGGUGUUGGGCUUGUUUUCAGCUCAUUGCCUUUAAUUGGAAGGAAUUUUAAUGACUUCACGUGGCUUAGAUUGGAAGCAGUUAUAAUUAAUUCCAUGUGUGCAUGCAAGAUACAUGUGCACGAGAAAGCCUUUGAUUGAUGAAUUCUUUCCUUGUAGAAACAGAAGCCAACAGUAACCCAGCACCAAUCUGGAUGAUACAGACUGAAUUAGUCUGUAGCUGUGGAGCCAGAUCCAGCUAUUGCUGAGACUGUAAGAAGGUUCUUCACCAUGAUAUGCAUCAGUUUCUUCUCUCUGCAACAAGAGAAACUUGAGAAUGGAUUUUGCUGUAGCCUUGGUGGACUUCUCCCCCUGAAACCAUGGCCAGGAAUGCUGACUCUUUCUGAAGUAAAGUUUCUGAAGGGUGUUCUUGUGGCUGACAUUCUAAUUUAUGCUUCUGAAGAAGGCAUGUGGGAAUUAAGUGACAUGAUGGAAAGUUUAAGUGUAAUCAACAGCAAGGAUAAAUGUUUGUGAUUUCUGCAUAUUAAUCUGGCUUUGAUUUGAGUUUCUGCAGCAUCUGUGACAAAACCAUAGGUUAUGGAUUUGGAAGCAUAAAUUUUGUUUCUCUGACAACAUAUAUUUUAGAUACUUAAUCGAUAAACUGAUUGAAUUUAAC